CCCGCCCGCCGUGUGUUCCUGGGCGGGGGCCACGACCUACUAGGAACAAAGGGCCCCUUGUGCCCUGCCAGGGAGUCACAGUUCUUUUGGAACUAUUUUACACAAACAGUAAAGAAGUCAGGUACUCACUAUAUGCACAAGUACAUCUACAUUUUAAUUCACAGAUUUAGAAAUACACACCCAUUGACAUAUAUGUACAUGUAUGUAUUGUGAAUAUAGUGCAGACUAUAGCAGGUAUACAGGUCGCCAAAAGAACUUGCUGUUUUUGCUGGUUCUGAUCAAGCCAAAUGGCGGGAAAUUUGGUGAGCCCUUUCUCCGGAGUGGUUAAUAUUGCUUUAAGUAACCAAUGGGUGUUUGUAAUAUUGGAUUUUUAAUUCCUACACCAGAAGAACAUAUCGGUUCACAAAUGCCAACUCUAAGGAAUGAAGUCAAUUUUGGCAGAUGGGAUUGCAGAGCAAGAGCAAGGACGUCUUUUGGCAGGAGCAGAGAAGAGACAAGGGGAGAGGAUGCAGGGACCCUUUGUAGGACUGGCAAAGGCUGAAGCUCAGCAGGGCCUCCGCAGUCAUGAACACCAGGCUGCCCUCGGACCUCAGUUCCAUUCUGUGCCCCAGAUGGACCAGCUCGCACAGAUGCCUUUGGAGCCAAUGUGGAUGGAACCUACUUGUCCACCACUUUAAAAUCUGCUGGCUGUAGAGGAGAUGAGACAACAAUACGGAUUCAGUGAUUUGCUUAAGAUGGUACAAGUGGAAGAGGACAUUCUUCUCUUUUACUUGUAGGCUUUUAUCCCCUUUCCUCUGUCCUGGGUAGGGCCCAGGUCAGGGAUUCCUACUACUGUACUCAGGAUGUUGUUGUGUGCACAAAAUCCUCUCUACAGGUUCAGAUUAUGAUUCGGGUCAACUAACUGGCUACCCUUGAUAUAGUUAUGAGAAAGAAUGAUUGGUAUUUUAAGUAUUUCUGAAAAGUCCAGAAUAACCCACCCAAUACUCACAAAUGUCUGUUUUUAUGUCUGCAUGUGUUACUACCUUUCUUUAGAGGAGGUUACAGUGUAUUACUUUCUCAGAGUCAUUAGUUUCCAAGCACAUCUUUCAGAGUUUUAUUUGUGCAUUUAACUGUUAAAAGCCAACUUAUUCAUUUAUUUAUUUAUUUUUCCUUUCUGAACCAAUUUAGAGGUGUUGCAUCUAAGAUAGGGUUUUUUAACUCCCUGAACCAUGUAUGAAGAUUUGCUAGAGGCACAAAGCAUAUGGCGCUUAUUUAAAAAUGGAUAUAGCUUGAUAUUUUAAUGAAAUCUGAGACUUAGCGUUUUUCAAGAUGCUAGAAGAGCUGCCAAUGCCAAAUUCCUCCAGGUAGAAUAUGUGACGUCCCAAGUAGCCUGUACCCGGGGGCUCCCAGGACAGCUGUGACUUACUCAUGUCAGAAGAACGUGAUGCUGGCACCUCCGACUUCUCAGGUUGCAGCCGGGCUGCUUUGCAAAAACUUUUCCCUUCUCGAAAAUCACAGCUACUAGGCGCCCUUCCCCUACUUUUAUUUGGCUUCCUCAAAAACCAGUUUUAAACUCCUUUCUGUAUCGUUUGCAAUUUUUCUAACAUUUCAUGCCUCUGUUCUGAAAAAAAAUAAAAAGAAAACCUAAAUCUGGUUAAAAAUAGGCUUCUUGGUUUAUAAUAAAGAC